rnacentral:rRNA from 1 species
CACGUAGGGGGGCGAGCGUUGUCCGGAAUCAUUGGGCGUAAAGAGCGUGUAGGCGGCCAGGUAGGUCUGCUGUGAAAACUCGAGGCUCAACCUCGAGAUGUCGGCGGAAACCAUCUGGCUAGAGUCCGGAAGAGGAGAAUGGAAUUCCCGGUGUAGCGGUGAAAUGCGCAGAUAUCGGGAAGAACACCCGUGGCGAAGGCGGUUCUCUGGGACGGUAUUGC